CUGACCCGCAGCUUCCCUCGGGGAAGUGAGGGUGGCGGUUAAAGCCUGGCGAAGGCUUACCCGAGGAGCCUGGAGCGUGUUUUGGUGGUUGCUGAGGGGAGAAGGGAGCCGGGGCGUCCCCUGGCUGCGCCGCAGGAGCGCCUGCCGAGGGAACGCCUGGCUCCUGGGCUCUGGCGAGGAGCUUUCCGCCGGCGCUCACCGCCGAAGGGCCCCGGGAGCAAAGUGGCAGCAGAAGCGCUCGGGAACGUCCUUCCCCGCUUGUGCCCGCGGCUGGGGGCUGUGCCGAGGGCCUCGCGCCUCUGAAGUGACUAAAAGCCAUUUGGCACAUGAAAACUCGGUGGCGUCUCACCUGCCUGCCUGCUUUGGCCAGCGGCUCGUUUCGGACAGAAUUUCCUGAAGUGUUUCCAGUCAACCCUACUCCCUGAGGAGAAUCUCAUUUGUAUACUGUUGCCAUUUGAAAUAAACUCAGAGGUGGAAAGAGAAAAGUGAUCUGCAGAAUUCCACUGAAAGAGAGAUGGGCUCUUCCUUUGCUUAAGAAAGGCAGAGGAACUUCAUACAGCAAAAGGACGUGUGGACUAAUUAGCUAUAGAGAAAUGGGGCACUUGUCUUCAGAUUUCAAGAUCUUACUGCACUAAGUGAUUUUGAGACACUUUCAAGGGC